rnacentral:tRNA from 1 species
GACCGAGUGGCGGAAUGGCAGACGCGCGAGUCUGAGAGGCUCGUACCCUGAACGGGCGUGGGAGUUCGAAUCUCCCCUCGGUCA